AACACACGCAUGAACAUGAGCAAUUUCACUUUGUCGCUUCCAACCCUUUUAGACUCUCACGCUCUCAACUCAGAUAUUCAGACGCGAGGUUCCAUGCAAACACGCAGCAAUGCACGAAACCUUCUUGCUCCAUCAACCAAUCUCGCGCCCUUUUACGCUCAAGAAAAUCUAAGCAAUCGUUGAAUCCGAAUAGCUUCAUCCAAUCGAAUCCGAAAUAGAACUCUCCAAAUCAAACUUAUCUGGCACGUGGAAUUUAGAAGGGAGCGUAGAUGAAUCCAUGGAUUGCAUUUAAGAAGUGCAUGAAUUAUUGGAGAAAGAUAUAGAAGAUUUACUGAAUUAAACACUCUGAUGUGGUGGUUCUUCGGAAGUUACAUGUUUUGCCUUAUAAGUGAAAUGAUAUGAUGCAGCUUGGUGCAGCCUGGUGUGUUCUUCACUUCUGACUAGGUCCAUUGCCCUAGCUUACAUUGGUUUGUGUUAAGUGCAGGUUCGAUGCUAGUCAUGGAGUUGCAAUGUAUGCUUAUAAUUGAAAAGGUUAUAUGUAGGUUAUGGUUUUGGAUGUAGUUUGGAAUUUGGUUAUGAUGAAAACAUUGUUUAUAAUGAACAUAAAUUUUGCAAUGCUAAAAUUAACUUUGGAAAAUGGAUGAAACUAAGUGGAUUAUGUGUUGAAUAACACAACUUGUUAAUGUGUUUCUUUCCUUUGUAGGUACCUCUAUGGAAGGAAAAGUAAUUUGGGAUAGAAGGAGAUGAUGAUAUGAAGCAUGAAGAUGGUGGAUGUUAAUGCUUAGGAAUUAGAUGUUAGAACCUUAGGUCAUGAGCUUGUAUUUUUGAAUUUGAUUCAUGUGUAAGGUAUUAACCUGAUUAUGUACUUGAACCUUGAAUUUGAAUAGAAUGUUUGGAUUUGUAUAUGGAAAUGGGUUGUUGGUUUAUGAAAUUGUAAAGAUUAUGUAAGUUUGGAAAUUCUUAUAGUUUUGGAUUGGAAUUGUAAAAUGUAUCUGAAUUGGUGAAUGUAACUUUGAGGUUUUGAUGAAAUAACAUGUUGGAAUUGAAUCCAAA